AGCAGGGAUUUAGGGGAGAUGGGUCCUAGUACUCAAUUGGAUUGUUACUUAGAUGAUUUAAGCGAUGAUUUGAGGUACUGGGGUCAAGUUUUGAGCAAUGGAAAGUUACUCCGAGGAUUUAAGCAGUGAUUUAGAGGGAGAUGGGUUCCAGGACUCAAUUGGAUAGUUACUCCGAUGAUUUAAGCGGUGAUUUGAGGUACUAGGGUCAAGUUUUGAGCAAAGGAAAGUUACUCCGAGCACUUAAGCAGGGAUUUAGGGGAGAUGGGUUCCAGAACUCAAUUGGAUAGUUACUCCGAUGAUUUAAGCGGUGAUCGGAGGUACUGGGGUCAAGUUUUGAGCAAAACAAUGUUACUCCGAGGACUUAAGCAGGGAUUUAGAGGAGAUGGGUUCCAGUACUCAAAUGGAGUGUUACUUAGAUGAUUUAAGCGGGGAGUUGAGGUACUGGGGUCA